rnacentral:rRNA from 1 species
GACGAACGUUGGCGGCGUGCUUAAUACAUGCAAGUCCACUGAAGCAGUGGUAGCAAUCUCGCUGUGGAGGUGGCGCACGGGUGAGUAACACGUAGGUAAUCUGCCUUCAGGUCUGGCAUAACUCCGGGAAACCGGGGCUAAUAGCAGAUGAUGCAGCGGCUCGACAUCGAGACAGUUGUUAAAGCUAUGGCGCCUGAAGAUGAGCCUGCGUCUGAUUAGCUAGUUGGCGGGGUAACGGCCCACCAAGGCAACGAUCAGUAGCUGGUCUGAGAGGAUGAUCAGCCACACUGGAACUGAGACACGGUCCAGACUCCUACGGGAGGCAGCAGUAAGGAAUAUUGCUCAAUGGGAGAAAUCCUGAAGCAGCAACGCCGCGUGAGGGACGAAGGGCUUUGGCUUGUAAACCUCUGUAGUGAGAGAAAAAAAUCCCAAUCUUUGGGACAUGAUGGUAGCUCAAAAGUAAGCCCCGGCUAACUACGUG